rnacentral:rRNA from 1 species
GUUGUGCGAACCUUCCACGGUUUGUGCGACGCAGCUAACGCAUUAAGCGCCCCGCCUGGGGAGUACGAUCGCAAGAUUAAAACUCAAAGGAAUUGACGGGGCCCCGCACAAGCAGCGGAGCAUGCGGCUUAAUUCGACGCAACGCGAAGAACCUUACCAAGGCUUGACAUAUACAGGAAUACGGCAGAGAUGUCGUAGCGGUUAAACGUCUGUAUACAGGUGGUGCAUGGUUGUCGUCAGCUCGUGUCGUGAGAUGUUGGGUUAAGUCCCGCAACGAGCGCAACCCUCGUUCUGUGUUGCCAGCAUUUAGUUGGGGACUCACAGGAGACUGCCGGGGUUAACUCGGAGGAAGGUGGGGAUGACGUCAAAUCAUCAUGCCCCUUAUGUCUUGGGCUGCACGCAUGCUACAAUGGCUGGUACAAAGGGCUGCAAUACUGCAAAGUGGAGCGAAUCCCAAAAAGCCAGUCUCAGUUCGGAUUGGGGUCUGCAACUCGACCCCAUGAAGUCGGAGUUGCUAGUAAUCGUAGAUCAGCAACGCUACGGUGAAUACGUUCCCGGGGCUUGUACACACCGCCCGUCACGUCACGAAAGUC